UUUCUCCGCCGGCGACCGGCGCACGAGUGAGUAACACGUAUGCAACCUGCCCCUGUCAGGGGGACAACCCGCCGAAAGGCGGGCUAAACCCGCGUACAUGCCACCGGGGCAUCCCGGAGGCAGGAAAGGCUUCGGCCGGACAGGGAUGGGCAUGCGGCGCAUUAGGCAGUAGGCGGGGUAACGGCCCACCUAACCGACGAUGCGUAGGGGUUCUGAGAGGAAGGUCCCCCACACUGGUACUGAGACACGGACCAGACUCCUACGGGAGGCAGCAG
rnacentral:rRNA from 1 species